AGGAAAAAAUAAAGAUAGUGAUUAGUAAAGGGUAUACCACUUUCUAUAUAUUGUAUUUUCUGUCAUUCUUCAAUUUGUGUUUAGUAUUUUCUAUUCCUCUCUUC
rnacentral:ribozyme from 1 species